CAGCCACGCAUUAUGUACAAAGCGAACUAUUUUUUUGCCUUUUACUAAAGAAUACCGUGUACAUGUUGCAUUAAGGCUGAGUUGGGUAAAGUUUUUUCAGGAGGUGGGUGUUUGUGCUUUU